UAUAUUGAACUAAAAUGUACUAAUAUAUUGAAGUGAAAGUUACUAUGCACAUAAUUUUGCAGAGCUAAAUGUAUUGCGGCUAUCCUACCAUGAUUGCAUAUAUUGAAGUGCAAAAGGAUUUGGAUGUGAGAUGUAGGCACGUCCAUUCUUUUAACUGGUAGUUUUUACCGUGUGUCAAUAUAUUUUAUAUUCGUGUUUUCUUAUGAUACGUUUUCAUACAUUUUUUGUAUUUCGUAGGCCAGUUUGAGUGCAUUCACAUUCUGUUUCUCCGAGCUGGUUCAAUACAACCACACACAAGUUACAAUAUUGCUGACCUAGAACAAAGGUUUGGGUCUUCUCAUUCAGUACACAAUGUAGCUGAGCUUGAGGCAUCAACCAAGGAGCUUGAGGCGUUGCUUGUUGAAAAAAAUAAUCAAGAAACACAUAUCAUGUUAUUCCUACCUUGUGCAGCCUAUCACAUAUGCCAUGGACAUUGUAGCUGUGAACAAGAGGGCCAACG